UACGUAGGGUGCAAGCGUUGUCCGGAAUUAUUGGGCGUAAAGAGCUCGUAGGCGGUCUGUCACGUCGGCUGUGAAAUCCUGAGGCUCAACCUCGGGUCUGCAGUCGAUACGGGCAAACUAGAGUAUUGCAGGGGAGACUGGAAUUCCUGGUGUAGCGGUGAAAUGCGCAGAUAUCAGGAGGAACACCGGUGGCGAAGGCGGUUCUCUGGGCCUGACCUGACGCUGAGGAGCGAAAGCGUGGGGAGCGAACAGG
rnacentral:rRNA from 1 species